AAUGAACGCUGGCGGCGUGCUUAACACAUGCAAGUCGAGCGAGAAAGCUCCUUCGGGAGUUAGUACAGCGGCGGACGAGUGAGUAACACGUGAGAACCUACCCUUUAGUGAAGAAUACCCGCGAGAAAUCGCGGUUAAUACUGCAUACGUCCCUUCGGGGAGAAAGGUGGCUUUAUGCUACCGCUAAUGGAUGGGCUUGCGGACUAUCAGCUUGUUGGUGGGGUAAAGCCCACAGGCUAUGACGGUUAACCGGCCUGAGAGGUGUACGGUCACGUUGGAACUGAGAUACGGUCCAGACUCCUACGGGAGGCUG
rnacentral:rRNA from 1 species